UUUAAUGACUUUAAAUUCAGAAAAAAAAAAUCCACUUAAUAUAAAAUAUACGUUCUACAGUAAAAAAAUAACAAUUUUUUCUUACAAAGAUUUGUAUGAUAUUUAUUUAAGUUUUCUUCAUUGCAAUACAUAAAUUGUGAAAGCUUUAAAUUAGAGAAUGCAGAUAAUGUAUCUAUAGGCCUAAUUGUCCCAAUGCUAGUGCUAGGCAAUGAAUCGUAAUACUUCUGCCAUCUGUAGGUAUUUUAAUGGAGGAGAUCUCAAAAACUUGCUCAAAUUUGCACAACAAAAUUGCAAAUUUGAACAAAUCUCUAGGAAAAUAACUGUGCAGAAUUGUAAUUAUUGUAUACAUUGGUUACAUACUAAGAUUAGGCCAUGUCAAAAAGAAAAAUUGGUUAGCAUCCUUUUUUUGAAUUUUUUAAUGUAGGCAUUCUUUUUUUUUUUUUUUUGGUCAAACUUGAAAAAUGGUGUGAAAUGUAGGAAAAUUAAAUGGAAUUUACAAUGUACCUGAGAAUGUAUAAAACGAAAUUGAUAUUAAAAUAUAUUCAUUUGUUUUAAUAUCAAUUUCAUUCUAUACAAUGUACCUGAGAAUGUAUAAAAUUAAAUUGAUAUUAAAACAAAUGAAUAUAUGUUUCAAAUUACUUUUCAAGAAAUGAAGAAAUUUUAGUAAAGGACAAAGAACAUAAAAACUGUUCCCAUAUACAAAAUAUUGCACUUGGGUCAAUAUCCGUUGUCUUUUUGGAUAAAAAAAAAACAAAAGUAGGUUGGCGAGUUUUUCGACGUCGGGAGGGGAUGCUAACAAAUUUUUUUUUGCAUGGCCUUGGUCAAAACCUUAAAUUUUUAGGCAAAAUCUAUGCUGAAAUCGGCCCUUAUUUUAUAAAAUACGCAGACUGAUUUCUAGGCCUAAUUUUUGAGUUGAGGAUAGGUCUAGGCUAUAUUCCCUACGCACGCCUGCCUUAAUUUACAAUCUGGUACUGGUACUGGUACUUCUGCUGUGUACAACUUUGCAAUUUUGGCCAAUUUUCCAUUGUCGUUUUGGAUUAUUGCCGGAUUUAGUUACGUGUCGGUGUCUACAAAGGCUGUUUCGCAGAUUCCCACGAUAGAAUGAUGUGGAAUCAGUACACGUUCAACGGUAUGACAGUAAGUUUUUGUAUACACCGUUGUUACGAACUACGCUAUCAGUACACCGGAUUGCAGUAUGUAAAACAUUGUUUUUGUGAUGAGACUUAUUCUAAGUUGGGUCAACAACUCGAAGUUGAAUGUAAUGUGGCUUGUGUCGGCAAUCCACAAGAAAUAUGUGGUGGUUUUUGGAGAAAAUCUGUCUAUAUCACACACAUUCACACUGCUAUGUACAAAUCAUCUGCGAAUUUGGAUAGAAUCUGUCGAACUUUAAAGGGAAUGCACAAGAUGUGCUACUGCAUGCUUGAGGGCGCCGCAGUGCGGAACGUUCCGUUAUGACGACAAAGGU